rnacentral:tRNA from 1 species
GCCUGGGUGGCUCAGUCGGUUAAGUGUCUGACUUCGGCUCAGGUCGUGAUCUCACCGUUUGUGGGUUCAAGCCCUGCGUCAGGCU